rnacentral:lncRNA from 10 species
UUUGAAUAAAGCAGAUUACUCUUCAUGAGGUGGGCCUCAUCCAAUCAGUUGAAGGCCUUAAGAAAAAAGGCUGACCUCUCCCAGGAAGAAGGAAUACUGACAGCAGACUCCCUUUGGACUCUAACUGCAACAUCGAUGCUUCUCUGGGUCUACAGCCUGCUGGCCUACCCUGCAAAUUUUGAACUUGCUAGUCUCCUCAAUCAUUAUCUGGCUUAACAGAGGACUGCUGGAUUCUCAUAUCUGGUACUACCUUCAAUAUGUUGCUCUAUGGUGUUUUGAUGGAAGGACAUGAAGAAAAUCUAGCUCACACAGAUACAUAGUUGGAAAUGGGUGAAGUAUUUUCAUCAUCUUUUGAUAACUGUGGAUAUUCUCUGAUUCUACACCAGAAAUCAACAAGUGGUAGCUUUUAAAUGUGGAGUCUGAAAUGUGGUACCUGAAAA